UACAGAGGGUGCAAGCGUUGUCCGGAAUCACUGGGCGUAAAGCGCACGUAGGCGGAUCUUUAAGUCAGAGGUGAAAUCCCAAGGCUCAACCUUGGAACUGCCUUUGAUACUGGGGAUCUUGAGUCCGGGAGAGGUGAGUGGAACUGCGAGUGUAGAGGUGAAAUUCGUAGAUAUUCGCAAGAACACCAGUGGCGAAGGCGGCUCACUGGCCCGGUACUGACGCUGAGGUGCGAAAGCGUGGGGAGCAAACAGG
rnacentral:rRNA from 1 species